rnacentral:lncRNA from 10 species
UGAAGAAGGUGCUUGUUUCCCCUUUGCCUUCCGCCAUGAGUGUAAGUUUCCUGAGGUCUCCCAGUCAUACUGCUGGUUAAGCCUGCAGAACGGCUGGUCUUGAACUCCCAGCCUCAAGCCAUCCUCCCGCCUUGGCCUUUCAAAGUGCUGGAUUACAAGCGUGAGCCACCGUGCACAGCCAAGACACAAUUUUAAAUCGAGCGGUCAGGAAGCCUCCUGGAGAAAAUGACGUUUGAACAAAGACAUGAAGAAAGUGGAGAAUAUUUGGAGAAAAGCAUUUCAGGCAGAGGAAAGUGCCAGGGCAGAGGCCCCGAGGACAGGAAAAUGAGACCCACAGAAGUUCAAGUCACCAGGCCAGUUAUUGUUGGGCUAGCACUUGAAGCCAGGUCUGCCUGAAUUUAGGGCCUCAGCUCUUUCCCACGCAUUUUUAGCCCAGAACCAAGCUGUUCAUAAAAGGUGUGCCUGCAAAUAGGAAACUAGAGAGCAUGGGCCCUCAGAGAGAGCUCUGAACCCCAUCUUCGACCUCGAACCUGUCCUUGGACUGAACCUGUCUUUAGGAGGUCUGCCCAUACGGAUGAAUCUGGAGCAGAGGCCGGGCUCAGCAGGAGAGCUUCACAAAACUGAGAUUCGAUGAAGCAGAGCCCCGUUUUAAGGGCUGCACAAAUCCACCCGGA